GAUGAACGCUGGCGGCGUGCCUAAUACAUGCAAGUAGAACGCUGAAGGAGGAGCUUGCUCUUCUGGAUGAGUCGCGAACGGGUGAGUAACGCGUAGGUAACCUGCCUGGUAGCGGGGGAUAACUAUUGGAAACGAUAGCUAAUACCGCAUGACAACAGUUAUUGCAUGAUAACUGUUUAAAAGGGGCAACUGCUCCACUACCAGAUGGACCUGCGUUGUAUUAGCUAGUUGGUGAGGUAACGGCUCACCAAGGCGACGAUACAUAGCCGACCUGAGAGGGUGAUCGGCCACACUGGGACUGAGACACGGCCCAGACUCCUACGGGAGGCAGCAGUAGGGAAUCUUCGGCAAUGGACGGAAGUCUGACCGAGCAACGCCGCGUGAGUGAAGAAGGUUUUCGGAUCGUAAAGCUCUGUUGUAAGAGAAGAACGAGUGUGAGAGUGGAAAGUUCACACUGUGACGGUAUCUUACCAGAAAGGGACGGCUAACUACGUG
rnacentral:rRNA from 1 species